AGCAGUAGCCGCGGUAAUACGAAGGGUGCAAGCGUUAAUCGGAAUUACUGGGCGUAAAGCGUGCGUAGGCGGUUUGUUAAGUCUGCUGUGAAAUCCCCGGGCUCAACCUGGGAAUGGCAGUGGAUACUGGCAAGCUAGAGUGUGUCAGAGGAUGGUGGAAUUCCCGGUGUAGCGGUGAAAUGCGUAGAGAUUGGGAGGAACAUCAGUGGCGAAGGCGGCUCACUGGUCCGGUACUGACGCUGAGGUGCGAAAGCGUGGGGAGCAAACAGGAUUAGAUACCCCAGUAGUCCCUGUCUCUUAUAC
rnacentral:rRNA from 1 species